rfam:Colinus virginianus strain Texas jcf7180006226956, whole genome shotgun sequence.
CCACAGGCUUUCUUUAGAGCCACAAAUUUAUGCAAAUAUUUUUCU